CCUACGGGUGGCUGCAGUGGGGAAUAUUGGACAAUGGGCGAAAGCCUGAUCCAGCCAUGCCGCGUGUGUGAAGAAGGCCUUCGGGUUGUAAAGCACUUUCAGUGGGGAAGAAAGCCUUGGGGCUAAUACCCUCGAGGAAGGACAUCACCCACAGAAGAAGCACCGGCUAACUCCGUGCCAGCAGCCGCGGUAAUACGGAGGGUGCGAGCGUUAAUCGGAAUUACUGGGCGUAAAGCGCGCGUAGGCGGUCUGAUAAGCCGGUUGUGAAAGCCCCGGGCUCAACCUGGGAACGGCAUCCGGAACUGUCAGGCUAGAGUGCAGGGGAGGAAGGUAGAAUUCCCGGUGUAGCGGUGAAAUGCGUAGAGAUCGGGAGGAAUACCAGUGGCGAAGGCGGCCUUCUGGACUGACACUGACGCUGAGGUGCGAAAGCGUGGGUAGCAAACAGGAUUAGAUCCCUGGUAGUC
rnacentral:rRNA from 1 species